GGACAUAGCUUAGUGGCAGAGCAUCUGUUUUGAAUGCAGAAGGUCUCCGGUUUGAUUCCUAGCAUCUUCA